UACGUAGGGGGCAAGCGUUGUUCGGAUUCAUUGGGCGUAAAGGGUGUGUAGGUGGCGCCGUAAGUCGGGUGUGAAAUUUCGGAGCUUAACUCCGAAACUGCAUUCGAUACUGCGGUGCUUGAGGACUGGAGAGGAGACUGGAAUUCAUGGUGUAGCAGUGAAAUGCGUAGAGAUCAUGAGGAACACCGGUGGCGAAGGCGGGUCUCUGGGCCGAUACUGACGCUGAGGAGCGAAAGCGUGGGGAGCGAACAGG
rnacentral:rRNA from 1 species